CGGGACGGGUGAGUAACGCGUGGAUAACCUGCCUCACACUGGGGGAUAACAGUUAGAAAUGACUGCUAAUACCGCAUAAGCGCACAGUACCGCAUGGUACAGUGUGAAAAACUCCGGUGGUGUGAGGUGGAUCCGCGUCUGAUUAGCCAGUUGGCGGGGUAACGGCCCACCAAAGCGACGAUCAGUAGCCGACCUGAGAGGGUGACCGGCCACAUUGGGACUGAGACACGGCCCAA
rnacentral:rRNA from 1 species